rnacentral:lncRNA from 1 species
AGAUUUUGUCAACAGUAAAACAGUUAAUAAUAUAUUUUUGUUACUUAAAUACUAUAUAUACAAAUGUAGAUGUAAGAGCAUAUUGCCCACAAAAUAUGGUGGUAUAGAAUAUUUAAAGUAGUGGAUUAAAAUAGAAAAAUACUCUGUAUGCUUUUUAACCCCUACACAAAAAAUAAAAAUGGAUCAGAAGUGGCAAUUGUUAGAAGCAGCA